rnacentral:tRNA from 1 species
AGAGGGGUAGCUAAAGUGGCAGAGUGCAUGCUUAGCAAGCAUGAGGUCCUGGGUUCAAUCCCCAGUACCUCCU